rnacentral:rRNA from 1 species
GGGGGGGGGGGGGGGGGGGGGGGAGGGGGGGAAGGCGGGGGGGGGCACGGGAAGAGCGUGCGCGGACGGGUGGCGAGUGGCGGACGGGUGAGGAAUACAUCGGAAUCUACUUUUUCGUGGGGGACAACGUAGGGAAACUUACGCUAAUACCGCAUACGACCUACGGGUGAAAGCAGGGGAUCUUCGGACCUUGCGCGAUUGAAUGAGCCGAUGUCGGAUUAGCUAGUUGGCGGGGUAAAGGCCCACCAAGGCGACGAUCCGUAGCUGGUCUGAGAGGAUGAUCAGCCACACUGGAACUGAGACACGGUCCAGACUCCUACGGGAGGCAGCAGUGGGGAAUAUUGGACAAUGGGCGCAAGCCUGAUCCAGCCAUACCGCGUGGGUGAAGAAGGCCUUCGGGUUGUAAAGCCCUUUUGUUGGGAAAGAAAAGCAGCAGGUUAAUACCCCGCUGUUCUGACGGUACCCAAAGAAUAAGCACCGGCUAACUUCGUG